rnacentral:rRNA from 1 species
UUGACCUACGGGAGGCAGCAGUAGGGAAUAUUGCUCAAUGGGGGAAACCCUGAAGCAGCAACGCCGCGUGGAGGAUGAAGGUUUUCGGAUUGUAAACUCCUUUUGUUAGAGAAGAUAAUGACGGUAUCUAACGAAUAAGCACCGGCUAACUCCGUGCCAGCAGCCGCGGUAAUACGGAGGGUGCGAGCGUUGUCCGGAAUCACUGGGCGUAAAGGGCGCGUAGGCGGUAAUAUAAGUCAGAUGUGAAAGGUGGGGGCUCAACCCCUAGAGUGCAACUGAUACUGUAUAACUUGAGUGUGAGAGAG